CAAGGUAAUGUGCAUUUCUGAUGAUUGACAGCAAGGAGUACAUAGUCUGCACCAAAAGAACACCUCCCCAUUGUUGCAGAAACCUCCUAUGAUCAUGCACUGGAAAAUCAAAUUGUGGAAGUUUAUGGAAAGAACAUAGGACACAUUUUAACAGAGUCUACAGGAAGCGAAAUCAUGAGUAUCUCCAUUGAAAGGCCCACGUGAUCAAGAGCUGAGGUAUCUGAGCAACAGCCAGCAAGGAACUGAGGCCUCCUGCCAAAGCCUUGUGAGUGAAUCUGGAACAUUAAGGAGCCAAGUCAAGUCUUCAGAUGACUACAGCCUCUGCCUAUGUCCUGACUGCAACUUCAUGAGCUCCUGAGUCAAAAUUAACCAGCUAAGAUAUAGCCAGGUUCCUGAUUUUUGGAAACAC
rnacentral:lncRNA from 1 species